rnacentral:rRNA from 1 species
UGGGGAAUAUUGGACAAUGGGCGAAAGCCUGAUCCAGCCAUGCCGCGUGUGUGAAGCAGGUCUUCGGAUUGUAAAGCACUUUAAGUUGGGAGGAAGGGCAUUAACCUAAUACGUUAGUGUUUUGACGUUCCCGACAGAAUAAGCACCGGCUAACUCUGUGCCGGCAGCCGCGGUAAUACAGAGGGUGCAAGCGUUAAUCGGAAUUACUGGGCGUAAAUCGCGCGUAGGUGGUUUGUUAAGUUGGAUGUGAAAUCCCCGGGCUCAACCUGGGAACUGCAUUCAAAACUGACUGACUAGAGUAUGGUAGAGGGUGGUGGAAUUUCCUGUGUAGCGGUGAAAUGCGUAGAUAUAGGAAGGAACACCAGUGGCGAAGGCGACCACCUGGACUAAUACUGACACUGAGGUGCGAAAGCGUGGGGAGCAAACA